rnacentral:rRNA from 1 species
ACGACAGGUGCUGCAUGGCUGUCGUCAGCUCGUGUCGUGAGAUGUUGGGUUAAGUCCCGCAACGAGCGCAACCCUUGCCUUUAGUUGCCAGCAGUUCGGCUGGGCACUCUAAAGGGACUGCCGGUGUUAAACCGGAGGAAGGUGGGGAUGACGUCAAGUCCUCAUGGCCUUUAUGACCAGGGCUACACACGUACUACAAUGGCCGAUACAAAGGGCAGCGACACUGCGAGGUGAAGCCAAUCCCGUAAAAUCGGUCUCAGUCCGGAUUGGAGUCUGCAACUCGACUCCAUGAAGUUGGAAUCGCUAGUAAUCGUGGAUCAGCAUGCCACGGUGAAUACGUUCCCGGGCCUU